rnacentral:rRNA from 1 species
AACGAACGCUGGCGGCAUGCCUAACACAUGCAAGUCGAACGAGACCUUCGGGUCUAGUGGCGCACGGGUGCGUAACGCGUGGGAACCUGCCCUUAGGUUCGGAAUAACUCCCCGAAAGGGGUGCUAAUACCGGAUAAUGUCUUCGGACCAAAGAUUUAUCGCCUUUGGAUGGGCCCGCGUUGGAUUAGCUAGUUGGUAGGGUAAAAGCCUACCAAGGCGACGAUCCAUAGCUGGUCUGAGAGGAUGAUCAGCCACACUGGGACUGAGACACGGCCCAGACUCCUACGGGAGGCAGCAGUGGGGAAUAUUGGACAAUGGGCGAAAGCGUGAUCCAGCAAUGCCGCGUGAGUGAUGAAGGCCUUAGGGUUGUAAAGCUCUUUUACCCGGGAUGAUAAUGACAGUACCGGGAGAAUAAGCUCCGGCUAACUCCGU